GAUGAACGCUGGCGGCAUGCCUAACACAUGCAAGUCGAUCGGUAAGGCUCUUCGGAGUACACGAGAAGCGGACGGCUGAGUAACGCGUAGGAACACACCCUGCAGUGAGGGAUAAGACACCGAAAGGUGUUCUAAUACCGCAUACGGUCUUCGGAUUAAAGCAUUUAUGCGCUGAAGGAGUGGCCUGCGUCAUUUUAGAUAGUUGGUGAGGUAAUGGCUCACCAAGUCGAUGAUGUGUAGCUGGUCUGAGAGGAUGAUCAGCCAGACUGGAACUGAGACACGGUCCAGACUCCUACGGGAGGCAGCAGUGAGGAAUAUUUCACAAUGAGCGAAAGCUUGAUGGAGCAAUGCCGCGUGCAGGAUGAAGGCCCUCGGGUUGUAAACUGCUUUUAUAAGAGAAGAUUAUGACGGUAACUUAUGAAUAAGGGACGGCUAACUACGUG
rnacentral:rRNA from 1 species